GACGUAGGUGGCGAACGUUAUCCGGAAUUAUUGGGCGUAAAGGGUGCGUAGGCGGCAUGAUAAGUUAUUGGCGGCAAAUCGAGGCUCAACCUCGUGGAAACUGAUAAUACUGUCUUGCUUGAGUGCAGAAGAGGUUAACGGAACUCCAUGUGGAGCGGUAAAAUGUGUAGAUAUAUGGAAGAACAUCAAUAACGGCGAAGGCAGUUAACUAUUCUGUUAACUGACGUUGAGGCA
rnacentral:rRNA from 1 species